rnacentral:tRNA from 1 species
GCAGGGAUACCCAAGAGGCUGAAGGGGCUCGCUUGGAAAGCGAGUAGAUCGGUAACACGGUGCUGGGGUUCAAAUCCCCAUCCUUGCGCCA